rnacentral:rRNA from 1 species
CCCUUAGAUGUUCUGGGCCGCACGCGUGCUACACUGAUGCAUUCAACGAGUCUAAAACCUGGUCUGAUAGGGCUGGGUAAUCUUUUGAAAGUGCAUCGUGAUUGGGAUAGAUGAUUGCAAUUCUUCAUCUUCAACGAGGAAUGCCUAGUAAACGCAAGUCAUCAGCUUGCAUUGAUUACGUCCCUGCCCUUUGUGCACACCGCCCGUCGCUCCUACCGAUUGAAUGAUCCGAUGAAUACCAUGGAUUGAGAGUACGAAUAGGUUCGCUUAUUUCUGCUGCUCGAGAAGUGGAGUAAAUCUUAUCAUUUAGAGGAAGGAGAAGUCGUAACA